rnacentral:rRNA from 1 species
UACGGGGGGGGCAAGCGUUGUUCGGAAUUACUGGGCGUAAAGGGCGCGUAGGUGGCCUUCUAAGUUGAACGUGAAAUCCCUGGGCUCAACCCAGGAACUGCGUCCAAGACUGGGAGGCUUGAAUCCGGGAGAGGGAUGCAGAAUUCCAGGUGUAGCGGUGAAAUGCGUAGAUAUCUGGAGGAAUACCGGUGGCGAAGGCGGCAUCCUGGACCGGCAUUGACGCUGAGGAGCGAAAGCUAGGGGAGCAAACGGG